rnacentral:lncRNA from 1 species
GUUUAUUGUCUGCUUUUGUCCUCUUACACAGAUAUCCAUCCUUCUUAUCCAUAACUAUUAAGUUUUGCUGAGAAACAGCCCAAUCCCUUGGGACAUGGGACAAAGAAGCACUUACUGCGAAACGUACUACCAUCCAGUAAGUUCAGUAAAUCCAGAGAGACAUAUAAUAUUUCUACCCAUUAUUUAGCUAGUCAUUUUUGUUGAUCCAAAUUCCUGUACUUCCACGGACUUGCUCAUCCUGUGCAUUUAACAAUGCCAACAAUAUUGGUAUAUUGUCUAUCUAACCUACAAACACAUUGCCUGCAGGCUUGGCUUCCUAGUAUUCAGUUGUGUUCAUAUUAUGGUAUUUGGUUACUUUGUGGAGAACCUCAACUUUCUAUUCAUAAAACAAUCCCAAGGAAGAUUGAGGUGUAAAAGGAGAGGAUGUUUGUUAGGAUCAGAAUAGACAUUCAUUAGAAUUGUAAAUUUGGAUAACAAAUAAAUAAAAGCAUAACUGUACCCUUAGUCUUAAGUAGAGACCUGUAAGCUAGUAGCAACCAUAUAAAAUUAAGAACGUGUUUUUAUUUUUUUUCUUGAUGUAUUGACCCAGGGACUGGGCACAGAUUGGUACUAUUCUUGAAAGUAUAAAGGAACAGUUAUUGUCAAGAUCUGUACUUUCCUCUUUUAUUAUUGGAGGACAGUUUAGGACAAAUAUAGUAUUUUUUCACAUUGUAAACUUUAAGUUCAAAAUAACACUUAAUCUCUCUUACCUUUCUAUCCAUAUUGUUUGUCUGACGCUUUCCCAGAGUCUGCCCAAUUAAAAGAGUGAACAGCAAUGCAUCAAUAUAUAGUGUAUAUGUCAAAGUAUAGUGUAUAUAGUGAUCCCAAAAAGUGGAAAACAUACCAGAAUUUUAAAAUGUAAUGUUUAUUCUAAAGUCAUUGUUAACAGUUUGGAAGUCAUCAUCACAUGGGAGGCUAUUGCGUAUAUACGGCAAAACACAGCGUGGCAGCAAUCGGUAUCUUCUCAUAGAGAUGCAUUGAGUCAAUGCAUCUCUGUGGGGGACAUUCAGCAUCUCCAUGUAUUGCGUGCAGACCAUGAAUGCCAAUGCUGCACACUGUGCAGCACUGGACUAGGAAGCACCUCAAGUGGCCAUCUGAGUUUCUGCCAACAGAGGUGUUACUAGACAGCAGUGUAAAUAUUGCCUUCUCUCUGAAAAGGCAGUAUUUGCAUUGAAAAGCCUACAGAGAGGCUACAGACACCAGAACAGCUACUUAAAUUGUAGUGGUUAUGGUGACUAUAAUAAUUCUUUAACCCCUUAAGGACACAUGACAUGUGUGACAUGUCACGAUUCCCUUUUAUUCCAGAAGUUUAGUCCUUAAGGGGUUAAUGACGUCAGUGAAGAAGUAGUAAUCCCGUGAGAAAAUGUUACUAACCCUCCUAUAUCCAAUACAUAUUUGGAAGCUGUCAGUGUUCAUAACUGCUUUCUAUGGAACGCUAAGACUGGAGGUGUUAUUUAAACAGGAACCUGAAUAUAUUGUAACAUAAAUAGCCAUAGUAGCCAAAAAAGGCCAUACAUAUGCUUAUAUACAUAAAAAAAGUCAAAAGUAUCAUAUUUUAUCACUUAUAUAUUUAAUCAAUGUUUUUUACAAAGUAAAGUUCCCUUGGAGUUUAUUCACAAAACAGGUGAAAACAAAGAGAUUCGGAUAAAAUAAUCUUGGAAAGUUCUGCAAAUCAUAUUCUCAUACUGGCUGUUUUUGUGUAGACUUCACACAUGCUAACCAUUAGUAGUCGGUGCUACAUAGACCAAGGUUCAUUGAAUAAACCCCUAAUGUUGUGAGUGUUUUCUCUAGUUUGGAAUAUACAUUUUCAUUAUCAUUGUCAGAAAAACACAUGCUUUUUUUUAAACAUUUGAACUGUAUUGAUACUUGUUACUUUUCUGUUUGUCUUCAUUCAACUGAAUCAAUUCAUAAAAAAAAAAAUUUUCUCCCAAAUCCAACAGGAUAGACUUAAGCAAUCGAUUUUCCCCUCUAACAGAACAGGAUACCCCAACCAAAAGGAAGAGACUAGUGGUAUUGUGGAGAGAGGCACUGAGGCUAGUGGUGUUGUGGAGAGAGGCACUGAGGCUAGUGGUGUUGUGUAGAGAGGCACUGAGACUAGUGGUGUUGUGGAGACCGGCUUGGAGACUAUGGUGAGGCCUAAUAGAAAGCAGUUGUUGUUGGGGGAUUCCAUUAUAAGAGGUGUGGAGAUGGACAAUGGUGGUCUUGUGAGGUGUCUUCCCGGAGCUACUGCUCACAGAGACAGGAGACGUAUCUGUAAUAUUGUUAAGCAAGCAAAGCAGGAAGGGGAAUUGGAUGUACUUGUCCAUCUAUGGACAAAUGACUUAGCUUACAAUGAGGUUUCAGAGGUUAAGGAAGUUUUUAAGGUUUUUGCCAAUGAUAUAUGGCAGGUUGCUUCCACACUGUCAUUCUCUGAAGUUCUGCCUGUGCAUAACACUCAGAAUGACAGGCGGAUGCGUAUUAGGGACUUUAAUUUGUGGCUUGGUGAAUGGUGUCGGGAGCAAGGAUUUGGCUUUAUUUCUCAUGGUAGCUCUGUUUGGAAUGGAGAUAAGCUGUACAAAAAAGAUGGUUUGCAUCUUUCUCAAAAGGGAACAAAUGUUCUCAGUGAGCAGUUCAGAGGUUUUGCUAGGAUGUAUUUAAACUAGGAGGGGGGGGCAAAAGGGUGAUAAAACAUCAAUCCAAUUGUCCCCCAAAACAAGGACAGAAGGUGCCUGUAGCAAGUGUGUUAAAAAAUGAUAAGCUUAGAGUCAUGUCUACAAAUGCUCGCAGUUUAGGGAAUAAGAUCCAUGAACUUGUGGCAAUAAUGGCAACUGAUAGUGUAGAUUUAGUCGCUGUUACUGAGACAUGGUACAAUGAGAAAAAUGACUGGGACAUAGCAAUACCAGGGUACUCUUUAUAUAGGAAAGAUAGGGAAGGCAAGAAAGGGGGAGGGGUGGCCUUGUAUGUGAAGGAUAGCAUAAAAUAAUAAAAAUAAAAAGUUAAUGAGGCGAACAUAGAGUCCGUUUGGGCUACAUUAGAAUUUGGUAAUCACACAGUAACUCGUGUAUGUGUGAUUUAUAGGCCCCCAGGACAAAUUGAAGAAUUAGAUAAUCUACUAGUUGAGGAAAUAGCUAAAAUGACAAUGAAGGGGGAAGUUAUCAUCAUGGGUGACUUUAAUUUCCCUGAUGUAAAUUGGAAAACAAAAUUAGCUACUUGUGCCAGGAGCACACAUAUUCUAAACUCCCUACUGGGAUUGUCUCUAAAACAAGUUGUUGAGGAGCCAACUCGUAAAGAGGCCAUACUAGAUUUAGUGUUAACAAAUGGAGAUUUGGUAUCAGAUAUUACUGUAGGUGAAAGUUUAGGAUCCAGUGAUCAUCAGUCAGUGUGGUUUAAUAUAAGAAAAGUGACUGAGUCACACCACACAAAAACAAAAGUUUUAGACUUUAGAAAAGCAGACUUUUCUAAAAUUAGAAUAUGGGUAGAGGAGUCAUUAUCAGACUGGAGCAAUUUAUAUGGAGUCCAAGAGAAAUGGGAUUAUUUAAAAGUUGCACUAUUGAAGGCAACAGAAAAUUGCAUUAGGCUUGUCAGUAAAAGCAAAAAAUUCAAGAAACCACUGUGGUACUCCGCAGAUGUGGCCAAAAUAGUUAAAAACAAAAAGUUAGCAUUUAGGAAUUAUAAAAAAACCCAGAGUGAGGAAGACAAAAUGAUCUAUAAGAAUAGGCAGAAAGAGGCUAAGCAAGUUAUAAGAGCUUCCAAAUCACACACAGAAGAGAAAAUAGCACAGUCAGUAAAAAAGGGGGAUAAAACAUUUUUUAGAUACAUAAAUGAGAAAAGAAAAGUAAAACAAGGAUUAGUUAGAUUAAAAACAAAAGAAGGAAGGUAUGAAGAAGAGGAUAAAGGUCUAGCUGACUGCCUCAAUGAAUAUUUUUGUUCUGUAUUUACAGAUGAAAAUGAAGGAAAGGGACCUCAGUUGAGAAAAAGGAUAAAUUAGUAAUUUAUUACACGUGAGUUUACAGAGGAAGAGGUUCUAUUUCAACUGUCAAAAGUAAAGACAAAUAUGUCAAUGGGACCUGAUGGAAUACACCCAAAGCUAUUAAAAGAGCUUAGUGGUGUACUAGCAAAACCAUUAACAGAUUUAUUUAACCAAUCAUUGUUAACAGGAGUAGUCCCAGAAGAUUGGAAGUUAGCGAAUGUUGUGCCCAUUUACAAGAAAGGUAAUAGGGAGGAGUCGGGCAACUAUAGGCCAGUAAGCCUUACUUCAGUAGUGGGGAAAGUGAUGGAAACCAUGUUAAAGGAUAGGAUUGAUGAACAUCUAAAAACACAUGGAUUUCAAGAUCAGAGACAACAUGGGUUUACUUCAGGGAGAUCAUGCCAAACUAAUCUUAUUGAUUUUUUUGAUUGGGUAACUAAAAUUAUAGAUCAGGGUGGUGCAGUAGACAUUGCUUACCUAGAUUUCAGUAAGGCUUUUGACACUGUUGCACAUAGAAGGCUUAUCAAUAAACUGCAAUCUUUAAGUUUGGAUUCCAAUAUUGUUGAAUGGGUAAGGCAGUGGCUGAGUGACAGGCAACAGAGGGUUGUAGUUAAUGGAAUAUAUUCGAAGCUUGGACUUGUCACCAGUGGGGUACCUCAGGGAUCUGUACUUGGACCCAUUCUCUUUAAUAUUUUUAUUAGUGAUAUUGCAGAAGGUCUUGAUGGUAAGGUAUGUCUUUUUGCUGAUGAUACUAAGAUAUGUAACAGGGUUGAUGUUCCAGGAGGGAUAAGCCAAAUGACAAAUGAUUUAGGUAAACUAGAAAAAUGGUCAGAAUUGUGGCAACUGACAUUUAAUGUUGAUAAGUGCAAGAUAAUGCAUCUUGGACGUAAAAACCCAAGGGCAGAGUACAGAAUAUUUGAUAGAGUCCUAACCUCAACAUAUGAGGAAAGGGAUUUAGGGGUAAUUAUUUCUGAUGACUUCAAGGUAGGCAGACAAUGUAAUAGAGCAGCAGGAAAUGCUAGCAGAAUGCUUGGUUGUAUAGGGAGAGGUAUUAGCAGUAGAAAGAGGGAAGUGCUCAUGCCAUUGUACAGAACACUGGUGAGACCUCACUUGGAGUAUUGUACACAGUACUGGAGACCGUAUCUUCAAAAGGAUAUUGAUACCUUAGAGAGGGUUCAGAGAAGGGCUACUAAACUGGUUCAUGGAUUGCGGGAUAAAACUUACCAGGAAAGGUUAAAGGAUCUUAACAUGUAUAGCUUGGAGGAAAGACGAGACAGGGGGGAUAUGAUAGAAACAUUUAAAUACAUAAAGGGAAUCAACACAGUAAAGGAGGAGACUAUAUUUAAAAGAAGAAAAACUACCACAACAAGAGGACAUAGUUUUAAAUUAGAGGGACAAAGGUUUAAAAAUAAUAUCAGGAAGUAUUACUUUACUGAGAGGGUAGUGGAUGCAUGGAAUAGCCUUCCAGCUGAAGUGGUAGAGGUUAACACAGUAAAUGAGUUUAAGCAUGCGUGGGAUAGGCAUAAGGCUAUCCUAACUAUAAGAUAGGGCUAGGGACUAAUAAAAGUAUUUAGAAAAUUGGGCAGACUAGAUGGGCCGAAUGGUUCUUAUCUGCCGUUACAUUCUAUGUUUCUAAAUCCAGAGAGGGCAACAUAGAGAUUAUUCAACAUAAUAUGGAGGAAUCUAUGGGAAUAUUUAAUAUCUCCAAGGUACCCCUUACUAAACAAGAAUGCCUAAUCCUUAAGAAAAGCCUUAAAUAUAGACCUAAUGUUGCUCCAGACCCGUUUCAAGUCUACAUAGACAUGCAGAAAUUUAUUAGGAAGUUUAGCAUAAAAAUAUUUUUCAUCAAAAAAGAGUUAGAAGACCCAUUGGGCCAAAAUACUACGUUAAAAGUAGUACGUCAAAUCCCCUCCAAAAAAUUUAAGCCACAAUCUACUUUUUGUCCAUAUGACAAGGGAAGCCAAACUGAAGUCUUUAACAAAAUAGUGACACAAGACUUAGAGAAACUAACCAGUAAAAAAGAACAUUGCAAUAAUAUGACCAGAUAGGAAAUGCAAACCCUUAAUCAACUGAAAAAAACAGAAGAUAUAGUUAUAACAAAAUUCAGAUGAAGGGGGUGGCAUAGUGGUCAUGUCCUUGGACUGCUAUUUGAGAGACGCAUAAAGACUAUUGGGGGACAGCACCACAUAUAUUAAACUUACCCAAAACCCAAAUGUACCUUUUAAGAAUGAAUUAAAGAUUUUACUGGAAAAAGCUAAGGAAAAUAAUAUAAUUGACACUAAUCACUAUCAAUUCCUUUUACAAGAACAUCCCAGAAUUCCAACCUUAUAUUUUCUUCCAAAGGUACACAAAUCCAAAACAAACCCACCAGGUAGACCAAUAAUAAAUGGGAUUGACUCCCUCACAUCUAAAUUGUCUCAAUUUAUAGAUCACUCACUGCAAAAAUAUGCACAAUCUGCCAAAUCAUACCUGAAAUACACUAAACAUCUACUACAAGAGUUGGAUUCCAUUGAAUGGCAUAGAGACUACGUCUGGGUAACACUUGACGUAAGUUCUCUAUACUCAUAGAUCAAAAUCAGAGUUUAUAAGCCAUGAGGAACAACCUGGAGGGAUAUAAGACUUUGGAUAAAAAUUUUGGGUCUUUUUUGCUCGAGACCAUUGGGUUCAUAUUAACGUACAACUUUUUCUUGUUCAAUUAUGAGUUUUUCCUACAAGUCAAGGGUAUGGCAAUGGGCACCAGGUUUGCCCCCAGUUAUGCUAACAUCUUUAUGGAUUAUUGGGAACGGAUGUUAAUUUGGGACAAUGAUCCAUUUGGGGCAAGCCUGGUACUCUGGCGUCGAUAUAUCGACGAUAUCCUUGUAACUUGGAAAGGGUCUGAUGAACAAUUACAUUAUUUUUUUACAUACCUUAAUAAUAAUGUAUUAUCACUAGUGUUUACACCUGUUUUCAUCCCAACAUCCAUAGAUUUUCUGGACCUAACAAUAUUUGUAGAAGGUUCAAAAACUAGAACCAAAACAAAAGUGGACAUCAUCCUAGAUGGCUUGCAGGGGUUCCUAAAAGCCAGUAUACCAGACUAAGGCGAAACUGUUCUGAUCAAAAACUAUAUGAAGAACAGGCAGAAUGUUUGACAAAAAUUUUUUUAGACAAAGGCUAUAAGAAAGAAAAUCUAAAAGUGGAGGUUCAAAAAAAUAAAUUAAAUAGGAGACAAUGGUAGAGGAGAACUCUUUAUUGAUAAGCCCAAACAGAUGCCCACCCUAAAAAAUCAAUUUGAUUUCUCGUUCAACACACAGUAAAAUUCUAAGGCUUUCUCUAUCAAUUAAAUCUUUAAAAAACAUUGGUCUAUAUUACAACAUGAUGAAUUCCUAGGACGACAACUGCCAAACAUUCCAAAAAUAAUUUACAGGAAAAGGAGAAAUCUUUCCACCCAUCUUACACCCAAUCUAUUUCAACUUAAAAAUUACAUCACAACUAAUAGCACAAGAAGGGGAUUUUAUACCUGUGGGAAAUGCAAAGCUUGUAAAUUUAUACCUCCCCACACCCACACAUUUUCUAGCACAAAUACAGGAGAAAAAUUUAAGAUUCAGGGAGGGGUUACUUGCUCCUCCAUUAAUGUAGUGUAUCUUCUGAUGUGUGGUGCACAGUACGUGGGGAGGACAGGACAAAAGCCAAAGUGCAUUUUUUGGAACAUCUGAAUAAUAUUAGAAAAGGGAUUCAAAGUCAUUCAGUUCCCACACAUUGCAAUAAAUGUCCCAAAGUUUGUCUUGGCCAAUUAUCGAACAGGUCAACUUGGAUGUAAGAGGGGGUGAUAUUGUCACAAAACUUAGACAGAGGGAGGGAUUUUGAAUACAUAGACUUAAAACACUUCAACCACCAUGGUUAAAUGUGGAUUUUGAUUUAAUCUGUUUUUUUUAUGAUUAUUACUUUAUAACUCCCCCCCCUUUUUUAUUAUCCCCUAUUUUUAAUUAAUUGUUUAAUUAAUUUUGUAUUAAUAUCUUAAUCUAGUCUAGUGUAUCCAAGGUCGCUCCCUUAUUUUCAUUCUUCACCCCUCAAUUUUCACCAUUUCUCUUUCAUGCUGUAUAUUACAUUAUUAUUUUUUAUUAAGAAUGAUGCUUGAUUUAUUUUAUUUUAUUGUUCUAACAGCUUUAUAUAAUUGCAUUACAUUGAUAUAUGAACAAUACUGUAAUAUCUAUAUAUCACUAAUGUAUUACAAUAUGAUUUUUGUUUUAUGCCGCAGAUCCAUGUGAGGACUCAUUUCCAUUAGCUGUAUUAAGACGAGGUGGAACACAUAUGCAUUCCAGCUACAAACUACUUCCACAUUGUCCGCCUGAAUACGAAUAAGAGAGAACAUUUCCGGAUCGGUGGAACGCAUAUGCAUUCCAGCUACAAACUACUUCCACAUUGUCCACCUGAAUACGAAUAAGAGAGAACACUUCUGGAUCGGUGGAACGCAUAAGGAAGAAAGAGAACAAGUGACUGAAGGAGAAUUAAUUGAAAGCUAUUGAUUGGACGAACGGAUCCGAAAACCGUUGGGAAGGACCUUUAAAAACAGCUGUGAGCCCCACAAGAUUUGAAGCACUUUACAUGAAUGCUAUUACUACUCCUGAGGAAGUCUGAUAUAUCAGACGGAAUGUGUAGAGUUUGUUUUUAAUUGUUUUUGUUAUUUUAUCUACCUGAUUUUUCUGCCUACUACCUCUUUGAAGCCUGUUCCAUUCCACGUUGAUCGAACACACAGAAUUGUAUUGAUGGGCCUUUUUAUCUCUUUUACACUGUAAGUGCAAUCAUUAAAGCUGAUAUUUUUAAUUUGUAAGCAGUGCUGUACUAUAUUGCUUUUUUAUUUUUUACAUGCAUUAUUCAUUAUCCGAAACAUGAGGAAUGUUUGAACAUCUACAUAAUGGAUGAGCCUGAAAAAUUCUCCAAUUUUGUGAGUGUAACAUUGAAAAAAAU